UUUUUUUCUUCUUCUUCUUAUAUU
rnacentral:sRNA from 1 species